rnacentral:rRNA from 1 species
AUUGAACGCUGGCGGCAUGCUUUACACAUGCAAGUCGAACGGUAACAGGCCGCAAGGUGCUGACGAGUGGCGAACGGGUGAGUAAUGCAUCGGAACGUGCCCAGUCGUGGGGGAUAACUACUCGAAAGAGUAGCUAAUACCGCAUACGAUCUAUGGAUGAAAGCGGGGGACCGUAAGGCCUCGCGCGAUUGGAGCGGCCGAUGUCAGAUUAGGUAGUUGGUGGGGUAAAGGCUCACCAAGCCAACGAUCUGUAGCUGGUCUGAGAGGACAACCAGCCACACUGGGACUGAGACACGGCCCAGACUCCUACGGGAGGCAGCAGUGGGGAAUUUUGGACAAUGGGCGAAAGCCUGAUCCAGCAAUGCCGCGUGCAGGAAGAAGGCCUUCGGGUUGUAAACUGCUUUUGUACGGAACGAAACGGCUCUGGUUAAUACCCGGGGCUAAUGACGGUACCGGAAGAAUAAGCACCGGCUAACUACGUG